rnacentral:rRNA from 1 species
UACGUAGGGGGCCAGCGUUGUCCGGAAUCAUUGGGCGUAAAGAGCGUGUAGGCGGCCAGACAGGUCCGUUGUGAAAACUAGAGGCUUAACCUCUAGACGUCGAUGGAAACCGUCUGGCUAGAGUCCGGAAGAGGAGAAUGGAAUUCCUGGUGUAGCGGUGAAAUGCGCAGAUAUCAGGAAGAACACCCGUGGCUAAGGCGGUUCUCUAGUACGGUACUGACGCUGAGACGCGAAAGCGUGGGAGCGAACAGG